rnacentral:lncRNA from 1 species
GAAAUUGUUUGCUCUGCACCAGGUGUAUAAGUGCUGGAUACAUCACCAUGUUGGUUGUUUGAUCCAUAGCCAUGACUAUGCUGUUAAAAUGGAAAAGGCCAACUACAUUCGAUUGGUCUACAAGAGUGCGUCUUGGAGGAGUUCUUUCAGUCAUCUCCUCUGUUCUUAUGUCUGGUGAAGGUGAUAAUAAUAUUUCAGGGGAAGGAAACAAAUCCCUAGAUGGGCGUCUGACUCUCCUCCCUCUUGCUUCACUUCAACCUUCAAGAAGCGGUGUAUUUUUCGUGCUCCUAGUAUGUCUGGGCUCCUGCUGUAUGCACAAGAAACACAAACCCUAGUAGCAUUUUUUAUAAAAAGAUAAAAAGAUAAAAAGAUAAAAAGAAAAAUAGAUAAAAAGAUAAAAAGAUAAAAAGAUAAAAAAAAAUAAGAUAUAUACAAUCAAAUCAAACUCAAUCAGUUUACACUACUAAAUUAGUUAAAACACGAGUCCCCGACAACGGCGCCAAAAACUUGUUAAACC